rnacentral:rRNA from 1 species
CUACAGAGGUCUCAAGCGAUUGUUCGGAUUCAUUGGGUCGUAAAGGGUGGCGUAAGGGCGGCGCGGUAAGUCGGGUGUGGAAAUUUCGAAGGCUUAACUUCGAAACUGCAUUCGAUACUGCCGUGCUUGAGGACUGGAGAGGAGACUGGAAUUUACGGUGUAGCGGUGAAAUGCGUAGAUAUCGAGAGGAACACCUGCGGCGAAGGCGGGUUGCUGGGCUGACACUGACGCUGAUGCGCGAAAGCUAGGGGAGCGAACGGG